AUAGCAUAUCAAUAAGCGGAGGAAAAGAAACCAACAGGGAUGCCCUAGUAACGGGCGAGUGAAGCGGCAACAGCUCAAAUUUGAAAUCUGGCCUCGGCCCGAGUUGUAAUUUGCAGAGGAUGCUUCUGGCGCGGUGCCUUCCGAGUUCCCUGGAACGGGACGCCACAGAGGGUGAGAGCCCCGUAUGGUCGGACACCAAGCCUGUGUGAAGCUCCUUCGACGAGUCGAGUAGUUUGGGAAUGCUGCUCUAAAUGGGAGGUAAAUCUCUUCUAAAGCUAAAUACCGGCCAGAGACCGAUAGCGCACAAGUAGAGUGAUCGAAAGAUGAAAAGCACCUUGAAAAGGGGGUUAAAUAGUACGUGAAAUUGUUGAAAGGGAAGCACUUGUGACCAGACUUGGGCCGGGCGGCUCAUCAGGGGUUCUCCCCUGUGCACUCCGCCCGGCACAGGCCAGCAUCGGUUCUCGUGGGGGGAUAAGACCGUCAGGAACGUAGCACCCUCCGGGGUGUGUUAUAGCCUGGCGGACGAUACCCCCGUGGGGACCGAGGUUCGCGCUCCGCAAGGAUGCUGGCGUAAUGGUCACCAGUGACCCGUCUUGAAACACGGACCAAGGAGUCGUCCAUUAGAGCGAGCGUUUGGGUGUAAAACCCGCACGCGUAAUGAAAGUGAACGCAGGUGAGAGCUUCGGCGCAUCAUCGACCGAUCCUGAUGUUCUCGGAAGGAUUUGAGUAAGAGUUUUAACGGACGGACCCGAAAGACAGUGAACUAUGCUUGUAUAGGGUGAAGCCAGAGGAAACUCUGGUGGAGGCUCGCAGCGGUUCUGACGUGCAAAUCGAUCGUCAAAUAUGAGCAUGGGGGCGAAGACUAAUCGAACUGUCUAGUAGCUGGUUACCGCCGAUCUC
rnacentral:rRNA from 1 species